rnacentral:rRNA from 1 species
GACGAACGCUGGCGGCGUGCUUAACACAUGCAAGUCGAACGGAAAGACCCUGCUUUUUUGGGCUUCUCGAGUGGCUAACGGGUGAGUAACAAGUGUGUAGCCUGCUCUUGACUUUGGGAUAACUUCAGGUAACUGCGGCUAAUACCGGAUAGUAACUCCUGCUGAAUGGUGGGGGUUGGAAAGUUUCGGCGUUCGGGGAUGGACUCGCGGCUAAUCAGCUUGUUGGUGGGGUAGUGGCUUACCCAGGCUUUGACGGAUAGCCGGCAUGUGAGGGUGGACGCGCACAAUGGGCCUGAGGUACGGCCCAGACUCCAAUGGUGGGCAGCAGUGGCAAAUCUUGUGCAGCGAGCGGACGCGUAAGGAGGCAGCCCCGCGUGCGUGAUGACGGCCUUGGGGUGAGAAACCGCGUUCGCCUGAGACGAAGCGUGAGUGACGGUAAUCGCUAAAGAAGCACCGGCUAACUACGUG